rnacentral:rRNA from 1 species
AUUGAACGCUGGCGGCAUGCUUUACACAUGCAGGUCGAACGGUAACAGGGUGCUUGCACCGCUGACGAGUGGCGAACGGGUGAGUAAUGCGUCGGAACGUGCCGAGUAGUGGGGGAUAACGCAGCGAAAGUUGUGCUAAUACCGCAUACGUACUGAGGUAGAAAGUGGGGGACCUUCGGGCCUCACGCUAUUCGAGCGGCCGACGUCUGAUUAGCUAGUAGGUGAGGUAAAGGCUCACCUAGGCGACGAUCAGUAGCGGGUCUGAGAGGAUGAUCCGCCACACUGGGACUGAGACACGGCCCAGACUCCUACGGGAGGCAGCAGUGGGGAAUAUUGGACAAUGGGCGGAAGCCUGAUCCAGCCAUGCCGCGUGUGUGAAGAAGGCCUUUUGGUUGUAAAGCACUUUAAGCGAGGAGGAGGCUACUUAGAUUAAUACUCUGGGAUAGUGGACGUUACUCGCAGAAUAAGCACCGGCUAACUCUGUGCCAGCAGCCGCCGUAAUAC